rfam:Gasterosteus aculeatus cont1.000670, whole genome shotgun sequence.
GGGCUAGUGGCGCAAUGGAUAACGCGUCUGACUACGAAUCAGGAGAUUCCAGGUUCGACUCCUGGAUAGCUCG